rnacentral:tRNA from 1 species
GGGGUUGUAGCUCAGUGGCAGAGCACUUGCCUAGCAUGCAUGAGGUACUGGAUUCAAUCCUUAGCACCA